GGGACACACUUGUCUAAUUUAUUGUACGUAGUAAACGUAAUAUUAUUUGAUAUAUUUUUUUAUACAUUUUAUAUAUGUGUAUAUAUGUUUCAGUAAGUAAAUAUUCUUCAAUCUCUUUUUUCCCCCAUUUUCCGCAGAUCAGCAUCAAUGUCCACGUGAAGAACCUAGUUAUGUUGCCAGUGUCAACCCACCAAAAGGCACUUUCACAAUAUAUAAAAGAAGUGUAUGGAACUGAGGUGCUUCCUCAGGAGCUCCUUCAGUUGUUGGAGGAUGGAGAAGAGGACGCAGCCAUGACUUGUGAGACGGCGUCUGAGUCAGCUGCUACUCACUGGGCGAUCAGAAAUAUGGUGUCCUCGCAAAAGUGGAAAGAGGCCAGGCCUUGUCUUAUAGACAAUAUGUUAGCUACUCUGGAUCCACAGUCACACCGUGUGUGUCAGUGUGGCAAACAAGUAGUUGUGAGGUGUCUGGACUGCCUUCCUCUUCCAUUCCUUUGUGCUGAGUGUGAUAUUGCAGUUCACACACACUUUGUCCUGCACAACAGAGAGGCAGUAACAGGAGGGUUUUUGCAGCCUUCAUCAGAGUUUCACAAGCCAAUAGGCCAGACCAUGUGUGUGACUGCCCAGCAGGUAACGUUGAGGUUUCACCCGGCGCAAUUGUGGCUCUUGUAACCAUAAAUGGCCGUUAUAACCUUGCACUGCCAGUGGUGAGCUGCACCAGCUGUGGCCUAAUGUGGUCCCCCUCAGUUAAGGACAUCCUGGGUAGUGGAUAUUGGCCUGGCACCUUAAAUUUCUGCACCCUGUUUUCAAUGGCUGUCUUUCAGUCUUUCCA